rnacentral:rRNA from 1 species
UACAGAGGGUGCGAGCGUUAAUCGGAAUUACUGGGCGUAAAGCGUGCGUAGACGGUUAUUUAAGUCGGAUGUGAAAGCCCCGGGCUCAACCUGGGAAUUGCAUUCGAGACUGAAUAGCUAGGGUGCGGUAGAGGGAAGCGGAAUUUCCGGUGUAGCGGUGAAAUGCGUAGAUAUCAGGAAGAACACCUGUGGUGUAGACGGCUUUCUGGGACCAUAGCUGACGCUGAGACACGAAAGCGUGGGUAGCAAACAGG